CACGCCCUAAACGAUGUCAACUGGUUGUUGGGAAUUCACUUUCUCAGUAACGAAGCUAACGCGUGAAGUUGACCGCCUGGGGAGUACGGCCGCAAGGUUAAAACUCAAAGGAAUUGACGGGGACCCGCACAAGCGGUGGAUGAUGUGGAUUAAUUCGAUGCAACGCGAAAAACCUUACCUACCCUUGACAUGUCAGGAAUCCUUGAGAGAUUGAGGAGUGCCCGAAAGGGAACCUGAACACAGGUGC
rnacentral:rRNA from 1 species